GGGUGAGUAACGCGUGGAGAACCUGCCGUAUACUGGGGGAUAACACUUAGAAAUAGGUGCUAAUACCGCAUAAGCGCACAGCUUCGCAUGAAGCAGUGUGAAAAACUCCGGUGGUAUACGAUGGAUCCGCGUCUGAUUAGCUGGUUGGCGGGGUAACAGCCCACCAAGGCGACGAUCAGUAGCCGGCCUGAGAGGGUGAACGGCCACAUUGGGACUGAGACACGGCCCAAACUCCUACGGGAGGCAGCAGUGGGGAAUAUUGCACAAUGGGGGAAACCCUGAUGCAGCGACGCCGCGUGAGUGAAGAAGUAUUUCGGUAUGUAAAGCUCUAUCAGCAGGGAAGAAAAUGACGGUACCUGACUAAGAAGCCCCGGCUAACUACGUGCCAGCAGCCGCGGUAAUACGUAGGGGGCAAGCGUUAUCCGGAUUUACUGGGUGUAAAGGGAGCGUAGACGGCAGCGCAAGUCUGAAGUGAAAUCCCAUGGCUUAACCAUGGAACUGCUUUGGAAACUGCGCAGCUGGAGUGCAGGAGAGGUAAGCGGGAUUCCUAGUGUAGCGGUGAAAUGCGUAGAUAUUAGGAGGAACACCAGUGGCGAAGGCGGCUUACUGGACUGUAACUGACGUUGAGGCUCGAAAGCGUGGGGAGCAAACAGGAUUAGAUACCCUGGUAGUCCACGCCGUAA
rnacentral:rRNA from 1 species